rnacentral:rRNA from 1 species
CCUACGGGUGGCAGCAGUGAGGAAUAUUGGUCAAUGGGCUUACGCCUGAACCAGCCAAGUCGCGUGAGGGAAGACUGCCCUAUGGGUUGUAAACCUCUUUUGUCAGGGAGCAACGCCGGCUACGUGUAGCCGGACUGAGAGUACCUGAAGAAAAAGCAUCGGCUAACUCCGUGCCAGCAGCCGCGGUAAUACGGAGGAUGCGAGCGUUAUCCGGAUUUAUUGGGUUUAAAGGGUGCGUAGGCGGUGUGAUAAGUUAGAGGUGAAAUGUCGGGGCUCAACCCCGAACCUGCCUCUAAUACGGUGGGACUAGAGAGUAGUUGCGGUAGGCGGAAUGGAUGGUGUAGCGGUGAAAGGCUUAG